ACCGGAGUUCCGUCGCCGGAAUUUUGUGCCGGCGAAAGUCAGUGGUCCCAAUUUCAUAAGCGGCUCGUUCUAUUAAGUCAGCGAAAAUUCUCCGUUACAAGCGCAGAAUGGUUCGAUCGGGAGGCGCCCCUGACACCUCUCUUAACAUCGAGCAAUCGAUACGUGACCUAGUACAGAUUACAGCCAACUUAGCCCAAGGUCACAGCCGGGAUGGGGACCUAUCUGAAAAAGUGGCCCGUAGGAACCCACCUAUACUAAAUGGAAAAGGGGGACCUGAAGAGUUGGAAAACUGGGUUGGGGAAUUUGAUAAGCUUUUCUUCACCCUAACCUGUCCUGACGA